UACGAAGGGGGCGAGCGUUGUUCGGAUUUACUGGGCGUAAAGGGCGCGCAGGCGGCUUUGCAAGUUAGAGGUGAAAGCCCGGGGCUCAACUCCGGAAUUGCCUUUAAAACUGCAUCGCUAGAAUUGUGGAGAGGUAAGUGGAAUUCCGAGUGUAGAGGUGAAAUUCGUAGAUAUUCGGAAGAACACCAGUGGCGAAGGCGACUUACUGGACACAUAUUGACGCUGAGGUGCGAAAGCGUGGGGAGCAAACAGG
rnacentral:rRNA from 1 species